rnacentral:sRNA from 1 species
AUGGCUUAGUCUCUAGGCGUGAGAAGUCAAUGACUCAUUUGCAAGAAGAUAAGCAACAACUGAGAAGAUGCAGUUCUGGCGCCGAAUCCCUGGGUUUUGGGUAGAAAUGGAAUGGAGAUGAUACUGAAGAAGGCGCUUCUCAAGACGACGUUGGAACGUGGGUGAUGAGGAUUCAAGGGAUAAGGAGGAAAUGGCAAAGGAGGAGGACCAAAACGUGUUCUCUGUUAGGAUAAUUGGUGCCCUAAAUGCCAGAAAGUCUGCACUCACCACUCAUUAAUUAUAUGCACAAUGAAUUUACGAAAUUGCUCAUUUUGACGAGUGGGAUCGCCAGUUUCCUUCACCUUUUAUGUCGCUCACCGCUUCACUGCAAAUAAGAUUAAACCAGAUCCCUUCCAAGUUUCAACGACCGCUACCACCUGGACCUCAGCUAUCCUUCUGUUGUUCCUCAAAACUUUCAUAUUGGUACAUAAGCUCAACUCUGAUUCUAUUUCAAACCCAAAGAUUGAUUAUUUUUACUCUUUUUUCUCUGUUAUUUAGUAAACUUUCCCAACUAUCACAAAAUGAUUUAUAAGAUUAGGAAUUGAUAGAACAGUAGUUGUUAAACAUUGUGGCAUUUGAAAAUCCUUCUGUGAUUAAGAUGUGUAUUUGUUUUAAUUACAAUUUAGGUGAUGGAAAAUUUAAAUUUAAUUUGUGCAUGUUUCAUUUUUUUCCUACCUAG